CGAGCUGGCCAGGCAGUCGCUGUAGAUGGUUUCGACUAACUACAGAGGAAAGUCCGGGCUCCACAGGGUAGAGUGCCAGGUAACGCCUGGACGGCGCGAGCCGAUGGAAAGUGCCACAGAAAAUAUACCGCCUAAGUCCUGCGGGGCCGGUAAGGUUGAAAUGGUGCGGUAAGAGCGCACCGCGCCUGUGGUAACGCAGGUGGCAGGGUAAACCCCACUCGGAGCAAGACCAAAUAGGGAUCCAAUGGCAUGACCCGUGCCGGAUCCGGGUAGGUUGCUUGAGGUGUUCGGCGACGGACAUCCCAGAUGAAUGACUGUCCAUGACAGAACCCGGCUUACCGGCCAGCUCGUUUU
rnacentral:RNase_P_RNA from 1 species